AUUGAACGCUGGCGGCAUGCUUUACACAUGCAAGUCGAACGGUAACAGGGAGCUUGCUCCGCUGACGAGUGGCGAACGGGUGAGUAAUGCGUCGGAACGUGCCGAGUAGUGGGGGAUAACGCAUCGAAAGGUGUGCUAAUACCGCAUACGUACUGAGGUAGAAAGUGGGGGACCUUCGGGCCUCACGCUAUUCGAGCGGCCGACGUCUGAUUAGCUAGUUGGUGAGGUAAUGGCUCACCAAGGCGACGAUCAGUAGCGGGUCUGAGAGGAUGAUCCGCCACACUGGGACUGAGACACGGCGCAGACCCCUACGGGAGGCAGCAGUGGGGAAUUUUGGACUAUGGGCGCAAGCCUGAUCCAGCCAUGCCGCGUGUCUGAAGAAGGCCUUCGGGUUGUAAAGGACUUUUGUCCGGGAGCAAAUGCCUGGUGUUAAUAGCAUCGGGAGCUGAGAGUACCGGAAGAAUAAGCACCGGCUAACUACGUGCCAGCCGCCGCCGUAACAC
rnacentral:rRNA from 1 species